GACGAACGCUGGCGGCGUGCCUAAUACAUGCAAGUCGAACGGUCUUUUCUAUGGAAGCUUGCUUCCAAUGAGAAGAUAGUGGCGAACGGGUGAGUAACACGUGGGAACCUGCCCAUAAGAGGGGGAUAACAUCCGGAAACGGGUGCUAAUACCGCAUAGGUUUCUUGGUGGCAUGAUCGCGAAAGGAAAGACGGCCUUUGUGCUGUCGCUUAUGGAUGGACCCGCGGCGUAUUAGUUAGUUGGUGAGGUAACGGCUCACCAAGACGAUGAUACGUAGCCGACCUGAGAGGGUGAUCGGCCACAUUGGGACUGAGACACGGCCCAAACUCCUACGGGAGGCAGCAGUAGGGAAUCUUCCGCAAUGGACGAAAGUCUGACGGAGCAACGCCGCGUGAGUGAAGAAGGUUUUCGGAUCGUAAAACUCUGUUGUCAGAGAAGAACAAGUCGGAGAGUAACUGCUCCGGCCUUGACGGUAUCUGACCAGAAAGCCACGGCUAACUACGUGCCAGCCGCCGCAGUAAUAC
rnacentral:rRNA from 1 species